CUAGUAUAGCAUUAUACUGCGAAACUGCGAAUGGCUCAUUAAAUCAGUUAUUGUUCCUUUGGCAGUCCCUUUUUACUUGGGUAACUGUGGCAAUUCUAGAGCUAAUACAUGCCAAAAGCCCCGACUUCGGUUGUGGGUGGACUUGUUAGAUAAAGAAUCAAUGCCCUUCGGGGCUAGUGGGUGAAUCAUGACAAUUACGCGGAUCGCAUGGCCUUGUGCCGGCGAUACCCCAUUCAAAUUUCUGCCCUAUCAACUUUAGAUGGUAGCGUCUUGGGCUACUAUGGUUUCGACGGGUAACGGGGAAUUAGGGUUCUAUUCCGGAGAGGGAGCCUGAGAAACGGCUACCACAUCCAAGGAGGGCAGCAGGCGCGCAAAUUACCCAAUCCCGACUCGGGGAGGUAGUGACAAUAAAUACUGAUACAGGGCUCUUUUGGGUCUUGUAAUUGGAAUGAGUACAAUUUAAAUCUCUUAACGAGGAACAAUUGGAGGGCAAGUCUGGUGCCAGCAGCCGCGGUAAUUCCAGCUCCAAUAGCGUAUAUUAAAGUUGUUGCAGUUAAAAAGCUCGUAGUUGAACCUUGGGCCUGGCUGGUCGGUCCGCCUCACCGCGUGUAUUGAUCCGGCCGGGUCCUUCCUUCUGGGGAACCGCAUGCCCUUCACUGGGUGUGUCGGGGAACUAGGACGUUUACUUUGAAAAAAUUAGAGUGUUCAAAGCAGGCCUAUGCUCGAAUACAUUAGCAUGGAAUAAUGAAAUAGGACGUGUGGUUCUAUUUUGUUGGUUUCUAGGACCGCCGUAAUGAUUAAUAGGGACAGUCGGGGGCAUCAGUAUUCAAUCGUUAGAGGUGAAAUUCUUGGAUCGAUUGAAGACUAACUACUGCGAAAGCAUUUGCCAAGGAUGUUUUCAUUAAUCAGUGAACGAAAGUUAGGGGAUCGAAGACGAUCAGAUACCGUCGUAGUCUUAACCAUAAACUAUGCCGACUAGGGAUC
rnacentral:rRNA from 1 species